AACGAACGCUGGCGGCAUGCCUAACACAUGCAAGUCGAACGAGACCUUCGGGUCUAGUGGCGCACGGGUGCGUAACGCGUGGGAACCUGCCCUUAGGUUCGGAAUAACUCCCCGAAAGGGGUGCUAAUACCGGAUAAUGUCUUCGGACCAAAGAUUUAUCGCCUUUGGAUGGGCCCGCGUUGGAUUAGCUAGUUUGUAGGGUAAAAGCCGACCAAGGCGACGAUUCAUAGCUGGUCUGUGAGGAUGAUCAGCCGCACUGGGACUGAGACACGGCCCAGACUCCUACGGGAGGCAGCAGUGGGGAAUAUUGGACCAUGGGCGCAAGCCUGAUCCUGCAGUGCCGCGUGAGUGAUGAAGGCCUUGGGGUUGUAAAGCUCUUUUAGCCGGGAUGAUAGUGACGGUACCGGGAGAAUAAGCUCCGGCUAACUCCGUG
rnacentral:rRNA from 1 species